GUGGGAAAAGGCGGUUCAGUUUAGGUAGACUGCACUAGUCAAAGCUAACAAGUCAAGAUAAUGCCAAGUUUUGGGGAUAUAGCAACUAGAAGAAAGGAUGGGGGAGUCUGGAGAGAAAGAGUUUUCAAAGAAGAAAUCAAAGUUUUACUUUCUGGACAUGUCGAGUUUGAACUAAUUUUUGUUAUCCAAGAAGAGGCUUUGCUAAGGAACUGUGUUAGCGUCCCGCCCCAAUCCCUCCACAAAUCUGGAACAGAGGCAACCAGCAUUUUAAUCAUCUCUGAAAUGACUGACAGCAUGAGUCAGUACUUCAGGAAUUUCAGUUUCAUCCCAGUUUCUUCUCCUAGGAGUACUCUGACGGCACAGAAAGAAUCCGUUCAGGUGUCAAGAUCUCAAUAGUUCAAAUGUUCCUGUCAUUUCCCUGUUACUUGGAUCCCUUCUGCUGAGUGACUGCAGCCUACUACAUUUCCCACAAGGCUUUGUGACUUUUGUUCCACCCAGCCAGCUUUGUUUCCCACCCUCCCUAGAAUCUGACAGGCCAGAGAAAAAUCUGAUUUCAAAGAGAUGCUUACACUCUGUUCUGAUGCCAUCUAGGAAUGUAAAUUCUCAAUGUCACACUGCUAAGUGGAGAAAGAAGAUGUUCCACUGAAAAAAGCUGAAUUGGAGAGGGAACAUGAAACUAAAUCACCAAAUAAAGAAACGAAUCUUAUAUUCCCUAAGAACAUUCCAGAUAGAAGUUGUUUCUGUGACCUGAAUAACAGAAUGAAAUGUCAAGUGGAGCUGAACUUCAUUCAACCCAGGGACCUACAGCAACCACAGACAAGCUGCAGACCUUCAUACAAGAUGAGGAUGAGUAGAUCCUUGCUUUUAAGCCACUUUCAUUUAAUGGAUUGUUUGUUAGCUCAGCAAAAACUAAUACAAAUUGAUAUCAAGGAUCUAAUGUUUUAAUAGAUAUUGAUGUAUGAGUAAAUGCUUGAAUCAUUCUCCCCUUGAGAAAGUAUCUACACAGUUAGAAGAGUUAGGGGUUUAAUGAGUGAGGAAAUAUUGUCUUUUGUUAGUAUAGCUGGGAGAAAAUAAUUUUCCUAAGUCAAUACUGAGUCAAAUCUUCACCAUCUUCAGUAUCCAUAUAUUUUUUCAUGAAUAAUAUAUGUGCACAGAGAAUUCUCAGAGGUUUUCAAAUAAAAUUAUUGCUGCAUUUGAAAGGAUCUAUUACAUCCUGAUGUGAAACUUACAAAAUGAUGUAGUUUAAAGAUAAUCUUUGAAAGUUAUUAUCCUUGGAAUUGGAAAAGGUUUUAUUAGUUUAUGAUAAGAUUUGGUUGCAAUUUAUUAAUUAAAGAGUUUAUUGGAAAAUCUCAUAUCAGACUGUUGAAACACUUUUGAGUGUUAUUAAAUGUCUAAUUGUACUACAGUUUUCAUCCAUGAACUUUCAGUACUUGUGAAGGCAAAACAUGUUUUGUUUUAAUUUUCAUAUUCCCUAGGCUUAUCACAAAAACUUAUUCAGAGAAAACAUAGAAUAAAUUAUAGAAAGGGGUAUUAUCACUACCCAGAAUUCCUAGAUUAAAGAAAGUAUUGGAGAUCAUUGUCCAGUUGUGUCUUUGUGUCUGUUUAAUUGCCUAAUUAUAAUAACUUGACAUUUACAAGACAGUCAAUAUGCUUCUUCUCCUUAGGUCUUCAGAUCUUUGCAAGCUGUAUCUACCUCAGAUUCACAUAAAAUUACACAGAUUUGUUGCCCAAUAUCACACAAAGCAAGAUUUAUCAACUUCUUACUCCAUAGCUCAUGUUCUUUCUUCUCAGUUAAGCAGAUUAGAAAGUCAAUAUUAAAGUAGAAAAGAAAGUCAGAAAAAUACAACAUCACCUGUCAUGUGACACUUUUCAUUAUCAUGAAAAAUCAGAAAUUUAUGAUUUGAACAUAUAGCAAUGGAUUAAUUGUAAUUUUGUAAACAUGGGGCCAAAAUUUUUGUUACAGAUUUUAUUUCAGAAAAUCUAUUUUCCAGGAAUUCCAGAAAAUCUCAAAGUAAAUAUCAAUGAUAUUUGUGUAAGCUUUACAAGUGUUAGAAAAUUCAGGUGUAAAAUAAACCUAAGAGAAUAACAAAUAUACUAAAGUAUUUCACAUCAGAAUAUUCAGUUAGGAAGAACAAAAUCCUGUUAAGUACACAUAAACUCUUUUAAAAAAAUUACAUAAUUUUGCAUAUCUUACAUCCAAAGUAUAUUAAUGCCCUGAAGACAUGCCAAAGUAUGGUAAUGCCACUAGUUGAAAUAGUUCUAGAAGUGGGUCCUGCCCACAUGAUCACUCUGUUGACAUGUUUUUGCUUGACCUUUUUAGCUUCCCAUGGCAGAUGUCCCAUGUUGUCGCCAUCUCUUAAUCAUUGGGGAACUCCAUUGAUGCUUCUCUCUCCUUCUCCCAGCUUCUUAUACUUUGUCCUCUCCGGGGGGGCUCCCUGCAGGGAUUCUGACCCUUGCACACUUUGUCUGGCCUUCCAAGUCUUCCUUUAAAAUCUUGGUGGAAGUCUCCAUGACCCCUUAACUCCAGCAUCUUGCAAUCCUGUAGGACCAUUACCAUGUGAACCACUGCAAAGUCUGCUGUCAGCUCAAACAGUGGCCAAAAUUCCUGGAACCAUGACUGCAGUGGCCUCUAAAUGCCUGUGUGGCCAAGCAUUAUAAAAAAAUUUUUCUCACUGUCCUACCUAUGUGGAAGCAGGAUGACCCACGGUCUCUUCUCAAAGGUGAUUUUAUUUUUAGACCCUUGAGUCUGUUAUGGGUGUGAUCUUGCCAAAUCCUGAGAUGCCCUCAAGCCAUCUUUCCUAUUGUCUCUGUGUAAAGUACUUAGCAUCUCUUUAGUGGCUAUAAUCUCUUAAACAAUCAUAACCUCCUUAGACCCAGUUUUACACACAUUUUUUUUUUCUGGACAAAUUAUAAUUUUUCCUUUCUUCUUCUUUCUCUGAGUAUCACAGAAAUCUUGGUUGAAAGAUAUCAGCAAUAUCCAUUACACUGCCUGAAUGGUGUUCUUCCUUGAAAUUUUUUUCUACCAAACUAAUCAGCCAAGCAUACUUAAAUUCAGCCUCCAAGAAAUUCUGAGGACAUGAGCAAAAUUUAAACAACUUCUUUGCCAGAAUGCAGUAUGAAUGACUCUAAUUCAAUUUUAAGGAGUCUUCCUUCUGCUCUGAAACCCCAUGAGCCCAGUCUUCACAAACCACAGUCCUAUUAGCAUUCUGGUUUUCUGACACCCCACCAAAAUGACCCAAUAUGUUCUGCUUACAACUUUCUAAGGCUUCUUCUGCCAGCAUCUCAAAAGUUUCUAAACUCCUUCUGUAAACCAGUCUUAAAUACAUUUGAACCACAUGGUCAGGUUAGUCACAGCAAUGUCCCCACUUCUCAGUACAAUUUUUGUAUUAGUUUUGUGUUGCUAUGACCAAAAGACCUGACAAGAACUUCUGAGAGGAAAAAUAAAAUAUUUGGGCUUACUGUUUCAGAGCUCAGUCCAUGGUAGGCUAGCUCCAUAGCUCUGAGUCUCAUGAGGCAGAGAUUCAUGCUGGAAGGAUGUGACGGGGAAAAGUAAUUCAGGACAUAACAGCAAGGAAAGAUGGGGUGAAGCACUCUGAUAGCCAGGGACAAAAUAUAUUCCAAGGAAAUUUUUCCUGUGAGACACUUAAUUCAGCCAUGCCCCACCCCUGCCUCCAUAAAGUUACCACCUAUCUAUCAAUCCAUUCAGAUUAUUUAUUUGGUCAUAGCUCUCAUGAAUAUUUCUGCAUUGCUUCACACUUGAGCUUCUAGGAGACACUUAAUAUUGAAACCAUAACACCUUUCCUCCUGGAAACAGUGAUUACUUCACUAAAAAAGUUUCCCUUUUUAGACUGGACAAGGGAGAAACCAAAUGACAGUAAGCAACACAUUAAUUUGGAUCAAUGUGAAUCAUACAAAUUUCAAUUUGUUAAAAAUUUCAAUUUUCUUCUUUUUCUCUAAUUCGCUUUAAUUUUCUUCUAUACUCUUGAAUUCAAAAUGAUGCAGGGUGGAACUAUUCACUGUCUUUUCAUGAUAUGAAGACUGAGGAUAAAGUCAACACAGGGAAGAGAUGGGACUCUAGGAAGGGGUGGAAUAAUUAGGACCUGUUACACUUAGUGUGAAAAUGCCAUUUCAGACUUGGACUUAUUAACCAAAAAAAAAAAAAAA